rnacentral:rRNA from 1 species
GACGAACGCUGGCGGCGUGCUUAACACAUGCAAGUCGAACGGAAAGGCCCUGCUUUUGUUGGGUGCUCGAUUGGCGAACGGGUGAGUAGCACGUGAGUAACCUGCCCUUUACUUUGGGAUAACUUCAGGAAACUUGGGCUAAUACCUGAUAGGAUCUCCUGCUGCAUGGUGGGGGUUGGAUAGUUUCGGCGGUUGGGGAUGGACUCGCGGCUUAUCAGCUUGUUGGUGGGGUAGUGGCUUACCAAGGCUUUGACGGGUAGCCGGCCUGAGAGGGUGACCGGCGACAGUGGGAGUGAGAUACGGCCAAGAAGAGAACGGGAGGCAGCAGUGGGGAAUAUUGCAGAAUGGGAGGAAGGGAGAUGCAGAAAAGAGGCGUGCGGGAUGAAGGGAAUCGGGUUGUAAAAAGAUUUAGAAUGUGAAGAAGAGUGAGUGACGGUAAUGGGUAAAGAAGCAACGGCUAACUACGUG